CUGCUUCAGUAGGUGUUGGAGCCUGAGAUUCUGGCUUUCUAACAAGCUCCCAGGUAAGUGCUGAUGCUGCUGCUUUGAGGGCCACACACCUUGAGGAGUAGGAAGAGUACUCAUACUGGAAGAGUAUUCAGCACGGACUGGAAUCCUGCAUACAUAUCUGAGCUCUGUGUUCUGUAGAGAUGGGGUUUCACCAUGUUGCCCAGGCUGGUCUCAAACUCCUGAGCUCAGGCCAUCUGCCCGCCUCGGCCUCCCAAAGUGCUAGGAUUACAGGUUUCUCUUAUUGCCUGGAUCCAAGAGCAUCUCCUGGGUUCUUCCUGUUAGAAUACUGAAUGUCCAUGGAGAGUUUAACAUAAGGAAGAAGAGGGCGGUCUCCCAGCUGAAACUGGUGCAGCAGAUCAUGCAAAGUAAAACCUCAGCAGCUGUGAUGAAGUAGAGCCGAGGGCCUGGGUGUCUGUCAACUCCAAGCGGAAGAUUUCCCCAGCUUUCUAGGUAACUGUGCUUCCACUGAGCAAACCAGACACAGACUUGAAUGUCAUCACAAUCUGUGCCUGUGACAUCUUUCCCCAAGAACAGCACAAAUUGAACUUUUACAUUCUUCAUAAUAUGGAAGGAAAGGUAUUGACUGAGCCACUUCUUUAUGCCUCAAGACAUCUCAUAUGUAUUUAUAUGGAUACAUACAUGAAUAUAUAUAUUCUGUCAUAAUAACAUAUUCUAUUUUUCUUAUUAUAGCACAGUGUUAGGAUAGGCUACAUAGGCUGCAUUAAACCCUCAAAUAGAAGU
rnacentral:sRNA from 1 species